UGACCAGUACUCCUACGGGGAGGCAGCAGUGGGGGAAUAUUGCACAAUCGGGCGCAAGCCUGAUGCAGCCAUGCCGCGUGGUGUGAAGAAGGCCUUCGGGUUGUUAAAGCACUUUCAGUCGUGAGGAAGGUAGUGUAGUUAAUAGCUGCACUUAUUUGACGUUAGCGACACGAAGAAGCACCGGCUAAACUCCGUGCCAGCAGCCGCGGUAAUACGGAGGGUGCGAGCGUUAAUCGGAAUUACUGGGCGUAAAGCGCAUGCAGGUGGUUUGUUAAGUCAGAUGUGAAAGCCCGGGGCUCAACCUCGGAAUAGCAUUUGAAACUGGCAGACUAGAGUACUGUAGAGGGGGGUAGGAAUUUCUAGGUGUAGCGGUGAAAUGCGUAGAGAUCUGAAGGAAUACCGGUGGCGAAGGCGGCCCCCUGGACAGAUACUGACACUCAGAUGCGAAAGCGUGGGGAGCAAACAGGAUUAGAUACCCCUGGUAG
rnacentral:rRNA from 1 species